rnacentral:ncRNA from 1 species
AAUAAUAGAUUGAACGGAACCUUUGCCAAAUGUAGUUUCGCCUAACAACACAGCCCUUUUUUGAUCUUGUAAAGCGCCCGCCACUAUUUCGGAAGCUGAUGCAGACCCGUUAUUUAUUAAAACUAUUAGAGGUUUACCUUUAAUAUGAUCUCCUUUUUUUGCAAAAAAUUUUCUGUUUUCUCUACUUUUUCUUCCUCUGAUGGAAACAAUUUCUCCAUCAUUAAGGAAAAAAUCAGUAAUUUUAACAGCUUGGGAUAGAAGGCCUCCUGGAUUAUUCCUUA